rnacentral:lncRNA from 1 species
AUGAUUACAUAUAUAACCAAUAUGGCUGUCUCUGUUUUGUUUGUAUUUGUUUGUAACAGGUUUUGUUUUGUUUCCUUCUUUUUCCCUGGGAAUGAGGGGGAGGGAGAGAGAGAGAGAGAGAGAGAGAGAGAGAGAGAGACAGAGACAGAGACAGAGAGAGAGAGGGAGGGAGGGAGGGAAGGAGAGAGGGUGAGACAGAGAGACAGAGAGAAGGUGAAUUUUUUUUUUUAAACCCUUACCUUCCGUCUUGGAGUCAAUACUGUGUAUUGGCUCCAAGGCAGAAGAGUGGUAAGGGCUAGGCAAUGGGGGUCAAGUGACUUGCCCAGGGUCACACAGCUAAGAAGUGGCUGAGGCCGGAUUUGAACCUAGGACCUCCCAUCUCUAGGCCUGACUCUCAAUCCACUGAGCUACCCAGCUGCCCCCGAGAAGGUGAAUUUUUGUUGAUUAAAAGAAAUAGAAAUUUACUAGGUGUGUGUGUGUGUGUGUGUGUCUUUUUGUUAAAGAAUGCUCUAUCUAAUUUGAGGAGGAAAGAGAGGGUGGGAAAUACCUGAGAAUCAUAAUGUAACAAACAAAUGAAUAAUUUUUUUUAAAUGUAACUAAAAAUUUAGAGGCAUUUAGGCUGUGUAGUGGCUAGAGACUUGGAGUCAGAAAGACUUAUGGGCAAACCUGGCCUCAGGCACUUACUGGCUGUGUGACCUUGGAGAAGUCACAUAACCCUUCUCACUCUCUAGUUCCUCAUCUGUAAAAUGGGGGUUUACAUCAUACCUACCCCAAAGAGUAGUUAUGAGGAAGAAAUGAGAGAAUAUUUGUAAAGGGCUUUGCAAACCUUAAGGCACUCUAUUGUUGGGUGUUGUUUAGUCAUUUCAGUCAUAUCUGACUCUUCAUGACCCCAUUAAGGGCUUUCUUGGCAAAGAUACAGGAGUGGUUGGCCAUUUCCUUCUCCAGCUCAUUUUACAGAUGGGGAAACUGAGUGAGGAAAAGGAAUACUGAAUUGUAUUACUUAGUAAUAUUUCUAGUGUGAAAUCAUUUCCCCACAGCCUCCCAAGGUCAGGCUGAAACUACCCAUUUGUAAGUUAAAAAAACGCCCAGCUUCCCAAGCUAUCAAAGUGACCUUUUGUCUUUUGAUAAGACCUCGAAAGAAUUCCAGGCAGGGCCGCUGUACUUUGGCCCAUUUGAAAGUAGGGUGGGCGGUCACCUGGUUGGUGAUGAGGUGAGCCGGCAUUUUCCUCAUUUAGGCAAGGGCCCGUCUCUCCCAUGGUGAAGUCAGGAGAGAGCAGUUGAGGUCUCUAAGCCCACCUCCUCCUUAGCCAUUUACCAAUUAGAGAUGUCUUAGGAUGUCCAAGGGAGAGACUAAAUAAUAAAUUGGAUAUAUGGAUUUGUGUGAAGAAACUC